rnacentral:lncRNA from 1 species
CUGUGCUUGUGACAUUUUCACACACUCCCUUAAACCAAAUUUUCUUCCUUUAACUGGGCAAUAUCCUUCUAUGUUGCUUUCAAGUCCAUAGGUCAAGUGAUAGGGAUAGUGCACUUCUUUCCUAUAGUAUUUUCACUAAAGUAAUCACACUCAUUUAGGGUAAAGAGUGUAACAUGUCAGACCUUGUUGCAACAAUACCUUUUACUAGGGGUACAUUAAAUUUUACAAACACAACAAAGAGAAGAAAAUCAUAUGCAAGACUAUAAGGCUCAGUCUUAGAAGAGGUCACACUCCUCGUAUGUUUGAUCAUCAAUGCAAUGAGGUAUAUCUUCUCACUCAUGUCUAGGACAUUCAUUAUCCUUAGAUCUCUGAAGCAAGAAUUUGAUUUUCUCCCUUUCCUGGGCAGUAUCUCCUUGUGCACAAUAUCAAACAACCUAUGGCUAGGAGUUAUCUCUCCACUAUUUACUUUUUCAGGAUUAUUCUUUUUCUUUUCUUUAGUGAACUUAUUGAUAAGAAAACACUCAACAUCCUUCUUCCACACAUAUUCUUUUAACUAUUCAGAGGGAACACCUAAUACUUUUUCUAGUCUUAUAGGAUCAAGAAUAAUUUCAACUCCCCUUACACUAAAACUGAUCAUCCACCUAUCCAAGAACUUCAAAUUAACAUAGAAUUCUACUACCUCAAAUUUAUGUAACACAUGUUAUUCUAUCAAAAACAAGUGAUUCCACCCCUGAAACCUAAGUUUUUUAAGUAGUUAAACAAUGGAAAGAUUAUCAAUUACCUCUUUAGCAAAAGUUCUACCCUUGAGCAUCAAUUGAGUAGAGUAGUAGCCAAUGAAACUCAAUCUCAAGAACUUUUCAUAGUUCCUGUUUACCUUUCCCUUCUUCUCAGUAAUUUCCUCUUCUUCAUCCUAUUCCUCCAUAUAUGUAUCUUCAUCCUCAUUAAUCUCUAUAGGUUCAUUAUUAUCAUCUAUUUUAUUCUUUCCUCUAGCCACCUUAUCUUUCUUUUCCUUUAUAGCCUUUCUCACUUCAGCAACCUUUUUUCCUAGGAUUAGUUAUUUUUGAAAGAAAGGCAGGAGAGAUUUGAGGAACUACCUUUGAUUUGGGGUGCAUUUAGACUUUACGCUUUUGUGCAUCCCUUUUUUGUAAUCAGGAAUAAGAUUAAUGCUUGAGAAAUUUAUUUGGAGUUUAUCAGAAUAUCCCCAUCACUAACAAUUUUUUCCUCCUUAAAAAAUAAUUUAGGGUUAUGAGCAGGGACUGGAGUAGUGACUGCUCCUUCAGAUGUCCAUGAAUAGUUGAUAGAAUUUGACUUUUGAACAGGUGGAUAUAAGGGUCUUGGUGAGGAAUUUAGAGAUGGAAUGAGUGAAGAUUUCAGGAGAAGAGAAUGGAAGAGACGGUGAGAAAGAUCUAGAUUUACGUUCUCCCUAAGAAGGUACACUAGAGGAGAGACCCUCAUAAUUGAAAUAAUACACAAGAGAGUGAAAUUUUUACACAUUAGGUUUUGAGGAUGAAGGACUUAGGGAAGCCAUUGGCGGAGAAAAGAGUUUUCUUUUUUGUUAGGAAAGUGAGUUUGAGAGAUAUUUGAAGUUUGUAGUGGAGCUUCGGUGAAUGUGGAGAGUUUUUAUAGAAAAGAAGAAAUAAUUGAAGGAUUGUAUAAUGAUUGAAGUGAUGAUUGUCAGUUUUAAAAGGAGAGAGCAAUGAUUGCAAAAAGAGGUAUUUAUUUAUUUUUCUCGCUUAAGAUUUUGUCUUUUGUAGGUGUUUGAGGUUUGAUAAUUAGGAUCAGAUCUUAAGACAGAAACAUAAUACUUUUAAUAUUUGAAAUAACUUGAAUUCUUUGCAAAGGAUCUGCAUAUAUGACUUGAGAACUAGGUCCUUAUGUGUCUUCUUGAGCUUUUACUUUGAAAUUAAGAUUCACUUUGAUGGUGAGAACUCAAGUGGUAGAUAUGAGCCUACCAAGGAACAAAGACUAAGUUAAUUACCAUAUCUAAUAAUUUGCAAGCGUGAUCUCUUACCUUAGUUUCAUAGUCAAGCACUUGGGGGAAGACUGUAGUCCUUCUUCUAUAAGAUUUCAUUAUCCAAGGGCCAAUCUAUUCUUCUCCAAAUGUUCUCUCUCCAAUGCUUUGAUGAAUAUAUCAGAAAUUUGUUCAUCACUUCCACAAAACACUAUUUCUAUCAACCCUUUUUCUACAUAAUCUAUGAGAAAAUGAUAUCUUACAUUAAUGUAUUUGAUUUUACUAUGUUGCACUGAAUUUUUAGCCAAAUUAACUGCACUUGUAUUAUCACACAUGAUAGAAAUACAUUCGAUGUUGAUUUCAUAGCCACUAAGUUGUUGUCUUAUCUGAUCCAGAGAAGUUAAGAACAAAAGGAUAUAGCAACUUUAUAUUCAGCCUCAACAAUUGAAAGAGCCACAGAGUUUUAUUUCUUUGUUGCCCAGGAGAAAAGACACAGUUUCAAGAAGUGAUCCAAUCCAGAAGUACUUUUUUUGUCCACCAAAUAUCCCGCAUGAUCAGCAUUAGGAUAACAAACAAUAUCAAAGAAAUCUCCAUCAGAAUACCAUAUAAACAUUCCUUGAGUGCCUUUGAGGUACCUAAAAAUUCUCUUGACAGUCCUUAAGUAAGAUUCUUUGGGAGAUGAUUGAAAUCUAGUACAUAUACCUAUACUAUACACAAUGUUAGUUCUACUAUCUGUAAGAUAUAGUAAGGAGACAAUCAUUCCUUAAUACUUUAUUUUAGCAACAGACACACCAGCCUCAUCUCUAUCAAGUGUUGUGGUAGUAACACUAGGAGUACUGCUUGUCUUAGCUCCAUUCAUCUCAAAUUUCUUUGAUAAUUCCUUGUUAUACUUUUGUCUAUGUAUGUAUGUUCCAUCCUUGGUUUGAUUGAUGUGUAAUUUUAAUAAAAAAGGUCAAUUCUCUCAUCAUGCUCAUUUUUUUUCUACUGCUUUCAUACCACAAAGAAGUCCAAUAGUUGUGCUUACUUCUUCCUUCAACCCUUUCAAACUCACUGCUCAUUAAUGAGGAGCAUUUCUUGCAUAAAACACGAUCUAUAGCUCCAAAUAUUAUAUCAUCUACAUCGAUUUGCACAAAAAAAGAUUGAAUUCUUCCUUUUUGUGAACAGUCUGUUGUCUAUUGUCUCUCUAGUAUAUCCAUGUUUUAGAAAAAAAGAGGACAGUUUGUCAUACGAUGAUUUUGGGGCCUGCUUAAGAUGAUAUAAAGCUUUGUCAAGAUUAUACACAUGAUCUGGAUAUUCAAAGAUCUCAAAACUUUGUGAUUGUUUCACAUAAACUUCUGUAUUCAGAUAAGCAUUCAAGAGGACACUUUUCACAUCCAUUUGAAACAGUUUUAAUUCCUUAUGGGAAGCAAAUACCAUCAGCAUUCUAAUGGCUUCCAUUCGAGCAGUAGGGGAAAAUAUUUCAUCAUAGUCCACCUUCAUCUUAAUUGUAUUCUUGCACCACCAGUUUGGCCUUGUUCCUAGUGACUACACCUUGAUCAUCUUACUUAUUUCUAAAUACCCACCCAAUUCAUAUGACAGUCCUAUAUGGAGACUUAGAAACUAAGUGGCAUAUCUUACUUCUGUAAAAUUGAUGUAACUCUUUUUGUGUAAAAACAAUGUAAUAUGUAUCUUACAAAGCUUCUUUGAUGUUCUUUGGUUUAAUCAGUGACAGGUAGGCUAAGUAAGUACACAUACUUCUCAACUUAUUUUUAGUCUGCAUGUCUGAAU